rnacentral:rRNA from 1 species
GUAGGGAAUAUUGGGCAAUGGAUGCAAGUCUGACCCAGCCAUCCCGCGUGCCGGAAGAAGGCCCUCAGGGUUGUAAACGGCUUUUGACGGUGAAGAAUCGACAGGAUGCGUCCUGUUUUGACGGUAGCCGUUGAAUAAGCACCGGCUAACUCCGUGCCAGCAGCCGCGGUAAUACGGAGGGUGCGAGCGUUGUCCGGAUUUAUUGGGUUUAAAGGGUGCGUAGGCUGGAAGGUCAGUCAGCGGUGAAAAGCUGUCGCUUAACGAUAGUCUUGCCGCAGAUACUUCCUUUCUUGGAUGAGGAGGAGGCCACUGGAACGGAUGGUGUAGCGGUGAAAUGCAUAGAUAUCAUCCAGAACACCGAUUGCGAAGGCAGGUGGCUGUACCUUAAUCGACGCUGAUGCACGAAAGCAUGGGGAGCAAACAGGAUUAGAAACCCGAGUAGCC